rnacentral:snRNA from 1 species
AUGCUGGUUUCAGCAGCACAUAUACUAAAAUCAGAGCAAUACAAAAAACAAUUAGCAUAGACCCUGUGUCAAGAUGACACCCAAAGUCAUAAAGUGAUCCAUAUUUUA